rnacentral:rRNA from 1 species
AACACAUGCAAGUCGAGCGGUAGAGAGAAGCUUGCUUCUCUUGAGAGCGGCGGACGGGUGAGUAAUGCCUAGGAAUCUGCCUGGUAGUGGGGGAUAACGUUCGGAAACGGACGCUAAUACCGCAUACGUCCUACGGGAGAAAGCAGGGGACCUUCGGGCCUUGCGCUAUCAGAUGAGCCUAGGUCGGAUUAGCUAGUUGGUGGGGUAAUGGCUCACCAAGGCGACGAUCCGUAACUGGUCUGAGAGGAUGAUCAGUCACACUGGAACUGAGACACGGUCCAGACUCCUACGGGAGGCAGCAGUGGGGAAUAUUGGACAAUGGGCGAAAGCCUGAUCCAGCCAUGCCGCGUGUGUGAAGAAGGUCUUCGGAUUGUAAAGCACUUUAAGUUGGGAGGAAGGGUUGUAGAUUAAUACUCUGCAAUUUUGACGUUACCGACAGAAUAAGCACCGGCUAACUCUGUGCCAGCAGCCGCGGUAAUACAGAGGGUGCAAGCGUUAAUCGGAAUUACUGGGCGUAAAGCGCGCGUAGGUGGUUUGUUAAGUUGGAUGUGAAAUCCCCGGGCUCAACCUGGGAACUGCAUUCAAAACUGACUGACUAGAGUAUGGUAGAGGGUGGUGGAAUUUCCUGUGUAGCGGUGAAAUGCGUAGAUAUAGGAAGGAACACCAGUGGCGAAGGCGACCACCUGGACUAAUACUGACACUGAGGUGCGAAAGCGUGGGGAGCAAACAGGAUUAGAUACCCUGGUAGUCCACGCCGUAAACGAUGUCAACUAGCCGUUGGAAGCCUUGAGCUUUUAGUGGCGCAGCUAACGCAUUAAGUG